GUGCUUAGUGGUUCCUCUCCUAAGAACGUUCAGUAAAAAUCAGAUGCCAGCUGAGUUCCUGUCCCACAAUAUUCCCCUAAGGCUUUGCUCUUCACCGUCUGUCUCUUCUGCAGCCAGGAAACACAAAGUGUGCUUCAGAGCACAAAGGAAGAACAGUGCAUGUGAAUUACACGCUUUGGAUGGCAGCACUCACUACUGGAUAAUGCCAGCUGAUGAAUCAGCAUCAUGAAGGCAGCACAGACACUAUGAUAACUAAGUUUCAUUUUCUACUCUCUGAAGACAGAGCCACCAGCUUUGUUGCAAAGAAAAAUUACUCAUAUUGCACAUAUGAUACAUGGAUAUUCAGAAUGAGUUUUAUAUGAUGUUCUGUAUGAAAUUAAAAAGGGAAUAUAAUGAUUUUAUCCCACAGAAGGUGUAAUAGUAGCUAAAGGUAAAUUUGGGAGAUUUGUGGUUGAUGAAUAUUCAAAUAAAAACAAGGGUGGAAAAUUUUACUCUCUCUGUCUUUUGACAUGGUAGCCUGAAACAGUCUAAACACAAAGACUGGAGAAAAUUUGUGGAAUAUGUAAGCUAUGAGUAUCCUGGAUGUCUUUCUGCCACAUAAAUAUCAGUGCUGUUAAAAGGUCAAGACUAAACAAUGAUAAUUUUGAGCUGGGAAGAUUGUGGUUUGGAUUCUAGGAGAUUAAAUGAAACCUUAGCUGCAGUAAAACAGGUUACAUAUCUGAUCAAAAACAAUGGGUAUAGGAGGAUUGUAGAAAAGCAGUGAAAUUAUAUUUUUCAAAGCCAU